GCUAUAAUGUGUUGCAAUAGUUAAUGUAGUUAGUGUGUUGUCAAAACGAGAACAGAAACUUAUACUACAGAGACGGUUGGUGAGUCGUCAGCAUGAGGAUUCGUGGCAGUUUCAGUUGAAGAUGAUUCCAGAUGACUUCGAUCGUGGGGUUGACGGACAUCUAACGUCGUGAGGUGAAACACGCUCUUCUGGUUGGAUACUUAAGGUAUUUUUUUUUUUGUAUGCUCAGUGUUGAGUGAAGCGGUCUUUUUAUUUAUUUUUUGACCACAACGUACCCCAGCUUCAAACAGGCCUGCAACGUGAAAAUUAAAGACUUACUGAAUGAGGUUAAGUGUGAGCUCACAUACUGCCGGCUUAGUAUUUGUUUGAAGAGUCUUUUGAGUUUGAGAGAGUUGGGGACUCAAAUUUAAAAAG